rnacentral:rRNA from 1 species
UAUGUAGGUGGCAAGCGUUGUCCGGAAUCAUUGGGCGUAAAGCGCGUGUAGGCGGUCCGGUAAGUCCGCUGUGAAAGUCGGGGGCUCAACCCUCGGAUGCCGGUGGAUACUGCGGGCCUCGAGGAGGGUAGGGGCAUCUGGAACGUUGGGUGGAGCGGUGAAAUGCGUUGAUAUCCAACGGAACUCCGGUGGCGAAGGCGAGGUGCUGGACCCUUUCUGACGCUGAGGCGCGAAAGCCAGGGGAGCGAACGGG